rnacentral:rRNA from 1 species
CGGACGGGUGAGUAAUGUCUGGGAAACUGCCUGAUGGAGGGGGAGUAACUACUGGAAACGGUAGCUAAUACCGCAUAACGUCGCAAGACCAAAGAGGGGGACCUUCGGGCCUCUUGCCAUCAGAUGUGCCCAGAUGGGAUUAGCUAGUAGGUGGGGUAACGGCUCACCUAGGCGACGAUCCCUAGCUGGUCUGAGAGGAUGACCAGCCACACUGGAACUGAGACACGGUCCAG